ACGAACGCUGGCGGCGUGCUUAACACAUGCAAGUCGAACGGAAAGGCCCCUUUGGGGGUACUCGAGUGGCGAACGGGUGAGUAACACGUGAGUAACCUGCCCUUGACUUCGGGAUAACUUCAGGAAACUGGGGCUAAUACCGGAUAGGAAUCCUUGCUGCAUGGUGGGGGUUGGAAAGCUUCGGCGGUUUUGGAUGGACUCGCGGCUUAUCAGCUUGUUGGUGGGGUAGUGGCUUACCAAGGCUUUGACGGGUAGCCGGCCUGAGAGGGCGACCGGCCACAUUGGGACUGAGAUACGGCCCAGACUCCUACGGGAGGCAGCAGUGGGGAAGAUUGCACAAUGGGCGGAAGCCUGAUGCAGCAACGCCGCGUGCGGGAUGACGGCCUUCGGGUUGUAAACCGCUUUCAGCAGGGGCGAAGCUUGUGGUGACGGUACCUGCAGAAGAAGCACCGGCUAACUACGUG
rnacentral:rRNA from 1 species